AUCUAGUCAAGGGUUCAAUCUUAUCAGGUUUAUCAGACUUUCUCUAUAACGAAUACCUUCGGAGUUUUGUACUUUUGUUAAUAUAUUUUUCCUCCAUCACUGUUGAAGGUUUAUGGGGGAUUGUUCAUUUUUAUACGACCGCAAAAAUUGAAAAAUUUUUGGUCGUAUAUUGGUAUGAUGUUGGCGUCGUCGUCUGCGUCGUCGUCAUCGUCGUCGUCCGAAUACUUUUAGUUUUCGCACUCUAACUUUAGUAAAUGUGAAUAAAAAUUUAUGAAAUUUUAACACA
rnacentral:lncRNA from 1 species